rnacentral:rRNA from 1 species
AUACUGCAGUCGAGCGGACAGAUGGGAGCUUGCUCCCGGAUGUUAGCGGCGGACGGGUGAGUAACACGUGGGUAACCUGCCUGUAAGACUGGGAUAACUCCGGGAAACCGGGGCUAAUACCGGAUGCUUGUUUGAACCGCAUGGUUCAAACAUAAAAGGUGGCUUCGGCUACCACUUACAGAUGGACCCGCGGCGCAUUAGCUAGUUGGUGAGGUAAUGGCUCACCAAGGCAACGAUGCGUAGCCGACCUGAGAGGGUGAUCGGCCACACUGGGACUGAGACACGGCCCAGACUCCUACGGGAGGCAGCAGUAGGGAUCUUCCGCAAUGGACGAAAGUCUGACGGAGCAACGCCGCGUGAGUGAUGAAGGUUUCGGAUCGUAAAGCUCUGUUGUUAGGGAAGAACAAGUACCGUUCGAAUAGGGCGGUACCUUGACGGUACCUAACCAGAAAGCCACGGCUAACUACGUGCCAGCAGCCGCGGUAUACGUAGGUGGCAAGCGUUGUCCGGAAUUAUUGGGCGUAAAGGGCUCGCAGGCGGUCCUUAAGUCUGAUGUGAAAGCCCCCGGCUCAACCGGGGAGGGUCAUUGGAAACUGGGGAACUUGAGUGCAGAAGAGGAGAGUGGAAUUCCACGUGUAGCGGUGAAAUGCGUAGAGAUGUGGAGGAACACCAGUGGCGAAGCGACUCUCUGGUCUGUAACUGACGCUGAGGAGCGAAAGCGUGGGGAGCGAACAGGAUUAGAUACCCUGGUAGUCCACGCCGUAACGAUGAGUGCUAGUGUUAGGGGGUUUCCGCCCCUUAGUGCUGCAGCUACGCAUAGCACUCGCUGGGGAGUACGGUCGCAGACUGAACUCAAGGAUGACGGGGCCGCACAGCGUGAGCAUGUGUUUAUCGAGCACGCGAGACUAACAGUCUGACAUCUCUGACAUCCUAGAGAUAGACGUCCAUCGGGGCAGAUGAAGUGGUGCAUGGUUGUCGUCAGCUCUGUCUG